rnacentral:misc_RNA from 1 species
UCCUUCUUAUCGAAGGCAGUUUCCAAAGAGUGCAUCCCUUACGGGAUUAGCAACAUUGGAUGGGGGUUGCGCUCGUUGCGGGACUUAACCCAACAUCUCACGACACAAGCUGACGACAACCAUGCAGCACCUCUGCAGACUCCCUUGCGGGUCGGCCCCUGUUUCCAGGUGUUUCCGGUUCAUGUCAAGCCUUGGUAAGGUUCUUCGCGUUGCAUCGAAUUAAUCCGCAUGCUCCGCCGCUUGUGCGGGCCCCCGUCAAUUCCUUUGAGUUUCAACCUUGCGGCCGUACUCCCCAGGCGGGAUGCUUAAUGCGUUAGCUGCGCCACCAACAAGCAUGCUUGCUGACGGCUAGCAUCCAUCGUUUAAGGCGUGGACUAC